rnacentral:rRNA from 1 species
GAUGAACGCUGGCGGCGUGCUUAACACAUGCAAGUCGAACGGAAAGGCUCCUGCUUGCAGGGGUACUCGAGUGGCGAAUGGGUGAGUAACACGUGGGUGAUCUGCCCUGCACUUCGGGAUAAGCCUGGGAAACUGGGUCUAAUACCGGAUAGGACGAUGGUUUGGAUGCCAUUGUGGAAAGUUUUUUCGGUGUAGGAUGAGCUCGCGGCCUAUCAGCUUGUUGGUGGGGUAAUGGCCUACCAAGGCGUCGACGGGUAGCCGGCCUGAGAGGGUGUACGGCCACAUUGGGACUGAGAUACGGCCCAGACUCCUACGGGAGGCAGCAGUGGGGAAUAUUGCACAAUGGGCGCAAGCCUGAUGCAGCGACGCCGCGUGGGGGAUGACGGCCUUCGGGUUGUAAACUCCUUUCGCUAGGGACGAAGCGCAAGUGACGGUACCUGGAGAAGAAGCACCGGCUAACUACGUG